UUGAGACAUGCAAGUCGAUCGGCAGCACGGGAGCAAUCCUGGUGGCGAGUGGCGAACGGGUGAGUAAUAUAUCGGAACGUGCCCAGUCGUGGGGGAUAACUACUCGAAAGAGUGGCUAAUACCGCAUACGAUCUACGGAUGAAAGCGGGGGACCUUAGGGCCUCGCGCGAUUGGAGCGGCCGAUAUCAGAUUAGGUAGUUGGUAGGGUAAAAGCCUACCAAGCCUGCGAUCUGUAGCUGGUCUGAGAGGACGACCAGCCACACUGGAACUGAGACACGGUCCAGACUCCUACGGGAGGCAGCAGUGGGGAAUUUUGGACAAUGGGCGAAAGCCUGAUCCAGCAAUGCCGCGUGCAGGACGAAGGCCUUCGGGUUGUAAACUGCUUUUGUACGGAACGAAAAGGUAGCUCCUAAUACGAGCUGCCGAUGACGGUACCGUAAGAAUAAGCACCGGCUAACUACGUGCCAGCAGCCGCGGUAAUACGUAGGGUGCGAGCGUUAAUCGGAAUUACUGGGCGUAAAGCGUGCGCAGGCGGUUUUGUAAGAUAGAUGUGAAAUCCCCGGGCUCAACCUGGGAACUGCAUAUAUGACUGCAAAGCUAGAGUACGGUACAGGGGGAUGGAAUUCCGCGUGUACCAGUGAAAUGCGUAGAUAUGCGGAGGAACACCGAUGGCGAAGGCCAUCCCCUGGACCUGUACUGACGCUCAUGCACGAAAGCGUGGGGAGCAAACAGGAUUACAUUACCUGGUAGUCCACGCCCUAAACGAUGUCAACUGGUUGUUGGGUCUUUACUGACUCACUAACGUAACUAACGCGUGAAGUUGACCGCCUGGGGAGUACCGCCGCCAGGUUUAAACUCCAAGGAAUUGACGGGACCCGCACAAGCGGUGGAUGAUGUGGUUUAAUUCGAUGCAACGCGAAAAACCUUACCCACCUUUGACAUGUACGGAACCCUUUAGAGAUAGAGGGUGCUCGAAAGAGAACCGUAACACAGGUGCUGCAUGGCUGUCGUCAGCUCGUGUCGUGAGAUGUUGGUUAAGUCCCGCAACGAGCGCAACCCUUGUCAUUAGUUGCUACGAAAGGCACUUUAAUGAGACUGCCGGUGACAAACCGGAGGAAGGUGGGGAUGACGUCAAGUCCUCAUGGCCCUUAUAGGUGGGGCUACACACGUCAUACAAUGGCUGGUACAGAGGGUUGCCAACCCGCGAGGGGGAGCUAAUCCCAUAAAGCCAGUCGUAGUCCGGAUCGCAGUCUGCAACUCGACUGCGUGAAGUCGGAAUCGCUAGUAAUCGUGGAUCAGAAUGUCCACGGUGAAUACGUUUCCGGGUUUUGAACACCCCGCCCGUA
rnacentral:rRNA from 1 species